AAAGAGGCACCACAAAGAGCAUGUUUAAUUCUAGUAUAAGUGAUCCGAAAGGGAAUUGUGUAGACAGUUGAGGGACCAAAAAAUAUUUAUCUCAUUUCAUUGUCAUUAGCUCAUUAGAAAAACAAUAAUGUGUCAAUUUGUUAUGAAAUUGUCGUUAGUAUAUUUUCCAAAAAAAAACAAUUUAGUCCAGAUUGAGCUAUGAAAAUUAGGAGAUAAGAACAAAUAGCUUAUUGAUUGUACCGUCCAAACAAGGUGUCGGAUGCAGCUACCGAAACAUUCAGAACACAGGUCCAGGUUGAUUCUACUAGCCACCUCUAAGAGGUUUAUAAGUACACCAUAGGUGCUGAUACAUCAUCUCAACGCCAGGAGAAGGAGGUUCCUCUUCUGGAAAGUACUUUGGCAGAACGGAAUGCACAUUAACUGGACACCACUAGGUGGAAAUUGGUGAACAAUGGGCAAGGUUUUUUGAUAGUAGUGCUAGGGUUAAUGAGGUGCAUAGAUGAUAGGUCAUCGAACUACGAUGACACGCGCAUUCUCUUUACAUCGUUCUCGGGCACACUCGCAUCCGCACCAUUGCCACGUGCGCUGACAUCGCCUGGUUUUGCAACCUACAGAUUAACACGGUUCAAUCUUUAGUGACAGUCCUAUGGUAUGUAAAAGAACUUCAUAU
rnacentral:lncRNA from 1 species